CCUACGGGCGGCAGCAGUGAGGAAUAUUGGUCAAUGGCCGUAAGGCUGAACCAGCCAAGUAGCGUGAGGGAAGACUGCCCUAUGGGUUGUAAACCUCUUUUAUGCGGGGAUAAAGGGGUCCACGUGUGGAUUUUUGCAUGUACCGCAUGAAUAAGGACCGGCUAAUUCCGUGCCAGCAGCCGCGGUAAUACGGAAGGUCCGGGCGUUAUCCGGAUUUAUUGGGUUUAAAGGGAGCGUAGGCCGGUCUUUAAGUGUGCCGUGAAAUUUUGGGGCUCAACCAUGAGAGUGCGGUGGAUACUGGAAGCCUUGAGUGCACGGGAGGUAGGCGGAAUUCGUGGUGUAGCGGUGAAAUGCUUAGAUAUCACGCAGAACCCCGAUAGCGAAGGCAGCCUACCAAGCUGUGACUGACGCUGAUGCACGAAAGCGUGGGGAUCAAACAGGAUUAGAUACCCUAGUAGUC
rnacentral:rRNA from 1 species